AAUAAAGUGCCUGAUAAAAGGAUUAUUCUGAUAGGAUAAAUUAUGUAAAUAAAAUUUACCUUUAUUA
rnacentral:tRNA from 2 species